UCUCCGUUGGUGAACCAGCGGAGGGAUCAUUACAGACUCGCAAGACUCCUACCACCCUGUGAACUUAACUACCAGCACGUUGCUUCGGCGGGUGUCUCGGAGGGGGUUCUCCCUCCCCGAGACGCUAAACCCGCCGGAAGCCUACUAUACUCUGUCUCUUUGCGUUGGCAUCUCGAGUACAAUCAAACAAGUUAAAACUUUCAACAACGGAUCUCUUGGUUCUG
rnacentral:misc_RNA from 1 species